rnacentral:tRNA from 1 species
GCCGGAGUGGUGGAAUUGGUAGACGCAGAGGACUCAAAAUCCUCCGCCCGAAAGGGUGUGCGAGUUCAAGUCUCGCCUCCGGCACCA